UUGAAAGGGAAACGAUUGAAGUCAGUCGUACCGGCGGGUAAUCAGCCUUUUGGGUGUGAUUAUGUGGGGCGUGAGGAGUUAAUCACCCUCAUCUUCGCAUAUUCGUGCACUUUGGGUGUACUUGCUCGUGUGGCAGGUUAACAUCAAUUUUGGUCAUCAUAAAAUGGCUGGAGGAAUGUAGCUUCGAUCUCGUAUUGAAGUGUUAUAGCCUUUGGUAGAUGUGAUGAUUGGGAUUGAGGAUUGCAACGGAUACCCUUCGGGCUACCUGUCUGAUCUCUGGAAGUUACUCUGGUGCUGAAAGCUUGCUUAUGGUAUCAAAGUUGACGUCUAAAAGGUUAGAACGGGUUAAAUUCGUUAAGGAUGU
rnacentral:rRNA from 1 species